UACGUAGGUGGCAAGCGUUGUCCGGAUUUAUUGGGUUUAAAGGGUGCGUAGGCGGCCUUAUAAGUCAGUGCUGAAAUACUCUAGCUUAACUAGAGGGGUGGCAUUGAUACUGUAGGGCUUGAGUAUAGUCGAGGUAGGCGGAAUUGACGGUGUAGCGGUGAAAUGCUUAGAUAUCAGGAGGAACACCGGUGGCGAAGGCGGCUCUCUGGACGGUGACUGACGCUGAGACGCGAAAGCGUGGGGAGCAAACAGG
rnacentral:rRNA from 1 species